GACAGAGGGUGCAAACGUUGUUCGGAAUCAUUGGGCGUAAAGAGCGUGUAGGCGGCCCGGUAAGUCCGUUGUGAAAGUCGAGGGCUCAACCCUCGAAUGCCGGCGGAUACUGUCGGGCUAGAAUCCGGAAGAGGCGAGUGGAAUUCCUGGUGUAGCGGUGAAAUGCGCAGAUAUCAGGAGGAACACCAAUGGCGAAGGCAGCUCGCUGGGACGGUAUUGACGCUGAGACGCGAAAGCGUGGGGAGCAAACAGG
rnacentral:rRNA from 1 species